rnacentral:rRNA from 1 species
UACGUAUGGUGCAAGCGUUAUCCGGAUUUACUGGGUGUAAAGGGAGCGUAGGUGGUUUGGCAAGCCAGAAGUGAAAACCCGGGGCUCAACUCCGUGGAUUGCUUUUGGAACUGUUGAACUAGAGUGCAGGAGGGGUAAGCGGAAUUCCCAGUGUAGCGGUGAAAUGCGUAGAUAUUGGGAAGAACACCGGCGGCGAAGGCGGCUUACUGGACUGUAACUGACACUGAGGCUCGAAAGCGUGGGGAGCAAA